NNNNNNNNNNNNNNNNNNNNNNNNGGGGGGCUGUCCUUGCGUCCCCCCACGGGGGUAGAACCCGCGGGAGCCCCGGCCUCUCGAUCCGCGGGGACCUGGGGAGGGCGGGCCCGGUUUGCGGCUUGGGGUUUGCUCUGGGGGGGGCACCGAUGCCCCGUGCCUCAGUUUCCCCCCGCUGCGUGCAACCGCGGCUGCUUCGGCCCCUCGCCCCCCCCCCCUGCUGCCCCCCGCGCCCCCCGAGUGCUGGGGGGGGGCGGGGGGGGCUGGAUAAGGACCCCUGGGUGCUCAGGGGGUGCACUGGGAGCCUAUGGGGAUGGACUGGGCGGUGUUGGGGUGCACUGGAAAGCUGUGGAAGGGGUACUGGGAAGCAGGGGGGUGCACUGGGAACCUCUGGGGAUGAACUGGGAGGCAUUGGGGUGCACUGAGAGGCUGGAGAGUGCACUGGGAACCUGUGAGGAUAGACUGGGAACCUAUGGGGGUGGACUGGGAGACGUUGGGGUGCACUGGGAAGCUCAGGGGGGUGGACUGGGUAAGCCGGGGGGGAUGAACUGGGUGAUGUUGAGAUGCACUGGGAAGCUGGGGGGCUACACUGGGAACCUUGGGGGUUCCACUGGGCAGUUUUGGGGUGCACUGGGCAGUUUUGGAGGGUGCACUGGGAACCUUCUGGGUGCUUUGGGGUGCACUGGGCACAUACAGGGGUGCACUGGGCACAUACAGGGGUGCACUGGGAACCUCUGGGAGUGCACUGGGCAAACUGGGGGGCACUGGGUGGUUUUGGAGUGCACGGAGCAGCACUGGGGCACGUUGGUUAGCUUCGAGGCGCACUGGGAACCUCGGGGUGCACUGGGUGGCAUUGGGGUGCACUGGAAUGGACUGGGCACUUUUGGGGUGUACUGGGAACACAUUGGAGUGCACUGGGGGGCUUUGAGGUGCGCCGGAUGCUUUUGGAGGGUGCUUGGAUCAGUUUUAGGGUGCGCUGUGCAGCCCGGAGGACAUGCUGGGAACGCUUGGGGUGCACUGGGCAAACUGGGGGAUGCAUUGGGAGCCUUUGUGGGUGCACUGGGUAAACUGGAAGCUGCACUGGGCAAACUGGGGGCCUCACUGAGAACCUUUGUGGGUGCACCGGGCAAACUGAGAACUGCACUGGGGACCUUUGUGGGUGCACUGGGCAAACUGGGAGCCAUGCACUGGGAACCUUUGGGGUUGCACUGUGCAAACUGGGAGCUGCACUGGGAACCCUCAGAGUGCACUGGGCAAACUGGGAGCUGCACUGGGGACCUUUGGGGCUGCACUGGGCCAACUGGGAGCGGCACCGUGCAACCCGGACCCUC
rnacentral:lncRNA from 1 species